GGAAAUGAGUCAGAUCGACAGGCAGCACGACAUUCAAAUAGAAAGAUAUACAUACGAUAGGUACUUUUCCCCAACUCCUUCCAUGUUGCAAUCUUCCCAAAGCAGCUUGAAAAGCAAAUAAUGAUGCUCAUUCUCUUUGAAGAAACUCCAGCAUCUGAUAAAGGGUAUAUGAGUAGUCUAGCCGUGCUAGAGCCUCCAUUUGUCCAGAUCAAAUUGAGAGUUGUACGCUCCAAAUCUUCAGACACAUCCAGUAAAGGCAUAGAUGCCUAUGACA